AUUGAACGCUGGCGGCAGGCCUAACACAUGCAAGUCGAGCGGAUGAAGGGAGCUUGCGCCUGGAUUCAGCGGCGGACGGGUGAGUAAUGCCUAGGAAUCUGCCUGGUAGUGGGGGAUAACGUCCGGAAACGGGCGCUAAUACCGCAUACGUCCUGAGGGAGAAAGUGGGGGAUCUUCGGACCUCACGCUAUCAGAUGAGCCUAGGUCGGAUUAGCUAGUUGGUGGGGUAAAGGCCUACCAAGGCGACGAUCCGUAACUGGUCUGAGAGGAUGAUCAGUCACACUGGAGCUGAGACACGGUCCAGACUCCUACGGGAGGCAGCAGUGGGGAAUAUUGGACAGUGGGCGAAAGCCUGAUCCAGCCAUGCCGCGUGUGUGAAGAAGGUCUUCGGAUUGUAAAGCACUUUAAGUUGGGAGGAAGGGCAGUAAGUUAAUACCUUGCUGUUUUGACGUUACCAACAGAAUAAGCACCGGCUAACUUCGUG
rnacentral:rRNA from 1 species